UACCAGCACCCCGAGUGGUCGGGACGAUUAUUGGGCCUAAAGCAUCCGUAGCCGGUUCUACAAGUCUUCCGUUAAAUCCACCUGCUUAACAGAUGGGCUGCGGAGGAUACUAUGGAGCUAGGAGGCGGGAGAGGCAAGCGGUACUUAGUGGGUAGGGGUAAAAUCCGUUGAUCCAUUGAAAGACCACCAGUGGCGAAGGCGGCUCACUGGCCCGGUACUGGACGCUGAGGUGGCGAAAGCGUGGGGAGCAAACAGGGAUUAAGAAACCC
rnacentral:rRNA from 1 species